rnacentral:rRNA from 1 species
UACGUAGGGAGCAAGCGUUGUUCGGAUUUACUGGGCGUAAAGGGCGCGUAGGCGGCGCGACAAGUCACUUGUGAAAUCUCCGGGCUUAACUCGGAACGGUCAAGUGAAACUGUCAUGCUAGAGUGCAGAAGGGGCAAUCGGAAUUCUUGGUGUAGCGGUGAAAUGCGUAGAUAUCAAGAGGAACACCUGAGGCGAAGACGGGUUGCUGGGCUGACACUGACGCUGAGGCGCGAAAGCCAGGGGAGCAAACAGG